UACGUAGGGUGCGAGCGUUAAUCGGAAUUACUGGGCGUAAAGCGUGCGCAGGCGGUGAUGUAAGACAGGUGUGAAAUCCCCGGGCUUAACCUGGGAACUGCAUUUGUGACUGCAUCGCUGGAGUGCGGCAGAGGGGGAUGGAAUUCCGCGUGUAGCAGUGAAAUGCGUAGAUAUGCGGAGGAACACCGAUGGCGAAGGCAAUCCCCUGGGCCUGUACUGACGCUCAUGCACGAAAGCGUGGGGAGCAAACAGG
rnacentral:rRNA from 1 species